UACGUAGGGGGCAAGCGUUGUCCGGAAUCAUUGGGCGUAAAGCGCGCGUAGGCGGCCCGGUAAGUCCGUUGUGAAAGUCAAAGGCUCAACCUUUGAACGCCGAUGGAUACUGCCGGGCUAGAGUCCGGAAGAGGCGAGUGGAAUUCCUGGUGUAGCGGUGGAAUGCGCAGAUAUCAGGAGGAACACCAAUAGCGAAGGCAGCUCGCUGGGACGGUACUGACGCUGAGGCGCGAAAGCGUGGGGAGCGAACGG
rnacentral:rRNA from 1 species